rnacentral:rRNA from 1 species
AGGUUAAGUUAACAAGGGCGCACGGUGGAUGCCUUGGCACUAGGAGCCGAUGAAGGACGGUACUAACACCGAUAUGCUUCGGGGAGCUGUACGUAAGCUUUGAUCCGGAGAUUUCCGAAUGGGGGAACCCAGCCAGCUUAGUCGCUGGUUACUAAGUUGUGAAUACAUAGCAGCUUAGAGGUAAACG